rnacentral:rRNA from 1 species
CGCUAUCUGUUGCCAGCAAGUAAUGUUGGGGACGUCAGAUGGAACUGCCGGUGACAAACCGGAGGAAGGUGGGACGACGUCAAGUCAUCAUGGCCCUUACUGUCCUGGGCUACACACGUGCUACAAUGGCCGGUACAGAGCGCAGCGAAGCCGCGAGGCAAAGCGAAUCGCAAAAAGCCGGUCUCAGUACGGAUUGGAGUCUGAAACUCGACUCCAUGAAGUUGGAAUCGCUAGUAAUCGCGCAUCAGCAUGGCGCGGUGAAUACGUUCCCGGGCCUU